GGGCUGCUGGUCCAAUGGGAAGACACCUGACUUGCAAUCAGGUAAUCGGGGUUCGACUCCCCGGCGGUCCA
rfam:Candidatus Entotheonella sp. TSY1 genomic scaffold TSY1_scaffold00042, whole genome shotgun sequence.